rnacentral:rRNA from 1 species
GACGAACGCUGGCGGCGUGCCUAAUACAUGCAAGUAGAACGCUGAAGAGAGGAGCUUACUCUUCUUGGAUGAGUUGCGAACGGGUGAGUAACGCGUAGGUAACCUGCCUUGUAGCGGGGGAUAACUAUUGGAAACGAUAGCUAAUACCGCAUAACAAUGGAUGACACAUGUCAUUUAUUUGAAAGGGGCAAUUGCUCCACUACAAGAUGGACCUGCGUUGUAUUAGCUAGUAGGUGAGGUAAUGGCUCACCUAGGCGACGAUACAUAGCCGACCUGAGAGGGUGAUCGGCCACACUGGGACUGAGACACGGCCCAGACUCCUACGGGAGGCAGCAGUAGGGAAUCUUCGGCAAUGGGGGCAACCCUGACCGAGCAACGCCGCGUGAGGGAAGAAGGGUUUCGGAUCGUAAAGCUCUGUUGUAAGUCAAGAACGGGUGUGAGAGUGGAAAGUUCACACUGUGACGGUAGCUUACCAGAAAGGGACGGCUAACUACGUG